GUCGUAUAUGUUGGCGUUGGAAGGAGGCUACGAAGUCGUGGGUUAUCGCCACGAACGUGACCGCAUAAAGGAUCGUAAUAUUUUAUGUGAACACGUGUAUGAGGAAGGUAUAACCGGUGAAGCUUGUACACCGGUUUGAGCGCGCAUGGCAUCGAGAUAGUAUUCGAUAUCAACCAAGAGAAAGGAAAGGAUGACUUUCCGGCGGAGACCUGGCCGUUGGAUUACGCUGAAACGCACGUUCAAGGCUAUCCUCAAGAUCACGGUCACGUCGCCGAUACUCUGGACGAUCGCCAUCAGUCAUCGAACGAUUCUCAAGAACACCUAUCUACCUAUCUAUUUACUAGAUUCGAGACCGGUUUUUGAGGAAGCGACUAAAGUGGCACGGACCGGUAAAGUUCAUUGCCAUUUCGAGCACCAUUUAUUCCCACUUUUAGCACCUAACGUAUGGGUGUAUAAGUAAAUACAUAAGUAUCCACAUUGUAUAUAUAUAUAUUUGCAUGUGUAUGUGUGUUUUUAUAUACGUAAACGGUACACGCAAUUUCAGUCUUUGAAAGAAUAAUUGAGACUGUCCGGAAUUGUUACGAGAAUUCCUACAAAGAAAUUACCGCUACGAUCAGUUGAUCAGUAUCGACAUAUCAAAGAAUAAAGAAGAAAUACUAUUAAUCAUUCUUUGAUAACUUUUGAACUUCAUUUAGAUGAAGUAAUAAUAACAAUUCAUAACGAACUAUUAUAAUAUUUUU